AGAGUUUGAUCCUGGCUCAGGACGAACGCUGGCGGCGUGCUUAACACAUGCAAGUCGAACGGAAAGGCCCCUUCGGGGGUACUCGAGUGGCGAACGGGUGAGUAACACGUGGGUGAUCUGCCCUGCACUUUGGGAUAAGCCUGGGAAACUGGGUCUAAUACCGAAUAGGACCGCAUGCUUCAUGGUGUGUGGUGGAAAGCUUUUGCGGUGUGGGAUGGGCCCGCGGCCUAUCAGCUUGUUGGUGGGGUAAUGGCCUACCAAGGCGACGACGGGUAGCCGGCCUGAGAGGGUGUCCGGCCACACUGGGACUGAGAUACGGCCCAGACUCCUACGGGAGGCAGCAGUGGGGAAUAUUGCACAAUGGGCGCAAGCCUGAUGCAGCGACGCCGCGUGGGGGAUGACGGCCUUCGGGUUGUAAACCUCUUUCAGUAUCGGCGAAGCUCCAGGAUUUUUCUUGGGGUGACGGUAGGUACAGAAGAAGCACCGGCCAACUACGUGCCAGCAGCCGCGGUAAUACGUAGGGUGCGAGCGUUGUCCGGAAUUACUGGGCGUAAAGAGCUCGUAGGUGGUUUGUCACGUUGUCUGUGAAAACUCACAGCUUAACUGUGGGCGUGCGGGCGAUACGGGCAGACUGGAGUACUGUAGGGGAGACUGGAAUUCCUGGUGUAGGGGUGGAAUGCGCAGAUAUCAGGAGGAACACCGGUGGCGAAGGCGGGUCUCCGGGCAGUAACUGACGCUGAGGAGCGAAAGCGUGGGGAGCGAACAGGAUUAGAUACCCUGGUAGUCCAA
rnacentral:rRNA from 1 species